rnacentral:rRNA from 1 species
UCGAGCGGGCGUAGCAAUACGUCAGCGGCAGACGGGUGAGUAACGCGUGGGAACGUACCUUUUGGUUCGGAACAACACAGGGAAACUUGUGCUAAUACCGGAUAAGCCCUUACGGGGAAAGAUUUAUCGCCGAAAGAUCGGCCCGCGUCUGAUUAGCUAGUUGGUAGGGUAACGGCCUACCAAGGCGACGAUCAGUAGCUGGUCUGAGAGGAUGAUCAGCCACAUUGGGACUGAGACACGGCCCAAACUCCUACGGGAGGCAGCAGUGGGGAAUAUUGGACAAUGGGGGCAACCCUGAUCCAGCCAUGCCGCGUGAGUGAUGAAGGCCCUAGGGUUGUAAAGCUCUUUUGUGCGGGAAGAUAAUGACGGUACCGCAAGAAUAAGCCCCGGCUAACUUCGUGCCAGCAGCCGCGGUAAUACGAAGGGGGCUAGCGUUGCUCGGAAUCACUGGGCGUAAAGGGUGCGUAGGCGGGUCUUUAAGUCAGGGGUGAAAUCCUGGAGCUCAACUCCAGAACUGCCUUUGAUACUGAAGAUCUUGAGUUCGGGAGAGGUGAGUGGAACUGCGAGUGUAGAGGUGAAAUUCGUAGAUAUUCGCAAGAACACCAGUGGCGAAGGCGG